rnacentral:rRNA from 1 species
CCCUUAGAUGUUCUGGGCCGCACGCGCGCUACACUGAUGCAUUCAACGAGCCUAUCCUUGACCGACAGGUCCGGGUAAUCUUUGAAUCUGCAUCGUGACGGGGAUAGAUUAUUGCAAUUAUUAAGCUUCAACGAGGAAUGCCUAGUAGGCGCAAGUCAUCAGCUUGCGUCGAUUACGUCCCUGCCCUUUGUACACACCGCCCGUCGCUCCUACCGAUUGGGUGUGCUGGUGAAAUGUUCGGAUCGGCCGUUUGUCGCGGUUUCCGCGUCAUGUGGCUGAGAAGUUCAUUAAACCCUCCCACCUAGAGGAAGGAGAAGUCGUAACA